CUGAGUUGCCACGCUGCCUUACUUUCACCACUGUGCUCCAGGGACAAGAUUUCUUUGUCCCUCCUUCUUCUUUCCCCUCUCUUUCUAUAUCUUCUUUCUUGGGGAAGACAAAAAUAUAUAACUCCAAACAGUGAAGACCGUAUUUCAGCCUGGGGAGCUCUACAGACGCAUUCCAGAGGACGUAAAGUUUGAGUGGGAUGAGAAAGGGUUUGGAACUCUGAGUCUUAAUGCAACUUAUGAUCCCUGGAAUCUCCAAGUAGACGACCUUCCAUCUGAGCCACAGACUUUUUGUAGCAGCGUUUACCAUCCCAAACAAGAGCUAAUGAGGUGGAGCCGUUGUCAGGGUUUUGGUUCAAAUGCACAGAAUCUACCUGCAGAAACCAUGAGAGUGGCAGGAAGCUGGGACGGCAUUCUCCACUGAACCAUCUGGUUUGUGUCUUUGAAACCAUGUCAGCUUCCAUUUGGCGUCACUCAGCUCACCUAACGCUGUCUAGCCCAGAGCCAGGCCAAAGGAUGUCCUUGCAAGGCUCCCGCUGUGUUCCUCCAGUUACUGCAGCCAGUAAGUGCCUGGCAGUUACACAUCUCCUGCUUGCUCCCCUUUACAUGGGCUUCUACAGCCACAGACAUUUCAUGGAAGGUAAAUCAGAGAACAGCAUGGGGCACAGCUGUCAGCAGAUGCGCGCGGCCGCCAUUCUCUCUCCUCAUGUGGCAGACCUGGAUGCUUGGGUAACCGAGCAUCAGCGUGACCUGGGAACUGAAGGGAGUGAGCGCACGCCUUCAAACCCAGCUACGAAGGUGCUUUAUUUAUACCCCAGACAUUACAAGUCCCCAGAGCCGCACAAAAAAAUCACACGUUUAAUUAAGGACAUUUCCUUGUAUGAGUUCCUGAAGGCAACAGCAUGGUGCGCAGGGCUUUAACAGUCCUGGGGAUUUCAUUUAAGUACUGACCAUUCUCUCACGGAAUCGAAGCCUGUUUCGUGGAUAAAUGUCUUUGGUUUUCAGGUACUUUUCAUCAUGAUUGCCCUUCUUCUGAAGCAACAUUUAAAGAAAAGUUUACUUAUCUGAGCGUAAGAAUUGUAGAUGUCUGAUGACUGCUUUGAUUAAUCCUUAUCAAUAUGCACGUCCUGAAAACCUAGCUGUGCUUCCAGUGUGGCAACUACUAGCCAUGUGUGUCCAUCUAAAGUGAACUUUGAAUGAAUUAAAAUCAAACAAAAUCAAAUAUUUGGUUCCUCAGUCCCACUAGCCACAGUUGAAGAACCCGAUACUGGCAUACCGGAGUGGCCAUGCAGAUAGAUCGUUUCCGUCACUGCAAACACGAUGGCAGUGAGUCCUGAGGCGUGAAGGCAGAGGCGCUGCUCACAGACUUACUAGAGAUUUGGGAAGCUGUCAGCCCUGGAAGGGGGGCACCGUCUAGUUAGAGAUGAACAGUGAAAGGUGAUGUCGUAUAUGGCAAACCACCAGGUGGAACAGGAGCCAUCAGUCAAUGCCAAAACGGAGGCAUGAAGUUCGAAGCCGAACGGUCCAGGGCAGGAUGGUGGAACCUAGUUCAUACACCGUGAGCAGACUUGGGACCAGGAAAUGAGCGACACGGCAGUCUGUGUGGCAAGAGAGAAUAAGAGAGAAAAAGAGAAAACAUACGACACGAUUGUGACGUGGAGGUGAUCCAGAAUUCUCAAGGAGUCUUGCACCAGCUUCUUGCUGCUGUAACAAAUUACCUCAUGCUUUCUAGCUUAGAACACCAGUGUCUCUCUCCCCUCACGGUGCUGGAGGCCAGAGAUCCUGCUGAGCUGGAACAAAGGAGCCUGGACAAGCGGGUACUGCCCUCCCUUCUGCAGAGGAAGAAUUCAGGCUUCCAGCAGCCAAGGGCUUGCUUGCGUGCGGCUGUGUCAGGACUGCAAUUCAAGCCCCUAGUUUCUUGUUCAGGGCUUUCUUCACUCCACGAAGACCAUCAUUCUAACAUCCUACAAAUGUCCGGUGCAAAUGUCUGUGUGAAAUAUAUGCUCUUUUCUGUCUGUUUACUUCAGACUCUGGGGAGAGAUCGGAGAGACAUUAGUAACUUCUUUUUUCUUUCCUCAAGUCCCUGUGACGAAAUGACUGUUUCUGCAGUGCUUGUUUUCUGGGCCCUGGAAAGAUUCCAAAGCUGUCACUGUGUUUUCCAUCUGGCACUUUUUCAAGAAUCUCUCUGCUGCUUCCUGCAGCCUGGAGGUCGUCCUGCAGAGGCCCCUCUACCACCCCUGACAGGCUGGUGGGGCAGGACAUAGGCAUCACGGAGCUGUGCAAUAGGCAGGAACAGCUUGACGAGGGGGCGGGCGCCCCAUUGCGUGCAAACUCACUCCAAGACGGGGAAGCGGCCCCCAGAGACAUGGUUUUCAAAAGUAGAAAACUACCUGCUAAUUUGUUACGGAAACUUUAAGUAUUGAAUGAAUCUAGUGAUUUUUUAAAAUAUAAUUCAACCUAUGGGAAAAAAUCCAGCUUGACUUUCUUGAAACACUCACGGGUCACACUAUUUGGAAAGCAACACUGAAAAGAAACUUUGGAACUUCCAAGGGAAUGUGGAUGGUGAGUGAGCCUCUGCAUUACAGAGUUUGAGCCGUCCCACCUCCCCAAGAACGCUCAGGACCUCAAAGACCCAGCCAGAAAAGACCAAAGAGAUGAUGGAAGUCACAGCUUUGCAGAAACUUCAGAAAAUUUGUGUUUACAAAAGGGUUUGCAAUAAAAGCUGCUGCUCACGUUUUCCUUCUGAAAUAGGUCAAGGAAGUGAAACUCUGGAAGGUAACUCACAGGUGCAGGAUUCCUCUGGACCUGUAAGAAGCUGACGGGCAUUGUGGCCACCGUACGAUGGCGUAGGGGACCUGGCAUUUCCCAGACUCUUUCCCUUCCGACCAGCUGGAAGCUGGAGCUGGGAGCAGCAGUGACCUAGCUUCAACCAUGCAGGUGAUGACGGAGUUACAGGAAGGGAGGAGCUGUGCUCCCUGAAAGACCUGUGGAACAGCGCUGGCCCUCCUGUCUGGGAUGCUUGCACUGGGGCUAAGUGACAAAGACAUAAAGGUUUGAAGUACGUAAUAAUAAAACUGAAAGUGAUCAAGAGAAUUUGUUGGCUACAGAUAUAUUCUGACUUCAGGAUAAUUUCAGUUCCACUGUUUGGUAAUAUCACCAGGAAUUGUUUUAUCUUAGACUUUGGGCUGCCUUGCUCUCGUAUUUUGACUGCUUCUUAAAAUGCCCCUCCACGUCCCAAGAUAACUACCAGCACCUUCUGGAAUUCAUGCAGCCUCAUUCAUUAUAAACAGAAAAGACUAUCUUUGUCCCCAAGUAGGGAAAACAUUGCUUCACCAAACAUAUGUUAAGAUCUUAUUCUUUGCCAAGUACUAGUGACGCAGAAAUGAGUCAGACGUGAUUGCUUAAAUGGGAAAGCUCGGAGUCAUCAUCUGGACAUCCACAAUAUUCCUAUUUCCUUCUGCGUAAAGAUUGUUUUUAAAAAUGCUCGUAUUCUGCGAUUUAUGAAGUGUGUUGAUGAGAACUCUCUAGAAGCAAUAAGAGUUGACUCCAUGGUGUAAGAGACUGAGUGAUAAGGAAAAGAUUUUCCACAUAGCCUUGUGAUGGAGUAACCAAAAUGACCUCUAAGGUUUGCCAGAAAAAAGCUAGACCUGCGAAGAAAGGAACGCAUUUUGGGCGGCUCCCCCGUGCUCCUCGGGGCCACAAGUACUCGAGGAAGUGACUGUUCCCUGGGUGGUGGCCAGACGCUCGGCUCCCAGGAGUCCGGCCGCCCUGAGGGCGGGGCCGGGAGGUGGAUGGACCGGAAGACCGCGCGUCUAGGGAGACUGAGUCACGUCCGGGUCAGAGCACGCGGCUUGACAGCCGGGGGAACGAAAUGCUGGUCUGGGGCGGAAUUUGAACUUUAGGUGGUUAAUUUCUACAGGCAAGAUCUCUGCUCCAUCUCGCGUCCUAAGAAAGGAGGGGUGUGUUUCUAAGCACAUACAGGCGCUCACACACUUUGCUGAUGUAUAUUCUCUACGUGCCUAAGCAUUGUAAUUUAGAUUUUGAUCUAGAAAAUUAAAAAUAAACGUCUAAGAGUUCCAUGCCAAAA
ensembl:lncRNA